AUGGAUAAGAGUUGGAUGCGAGCAGCAAGAUCUUCCACCGAGUAUUCUGAAGGAACUAGCAACUUCAUAAAAUUUGCUUUUCGUACGUCAGCAAAAAAUAAUAGGAUUCUCUGCCCUUGCAAGAUAUGUGUAAACUCUCGUUGGUUGGGUGAACUUGAAGUCUAUGAUCAUUUGAUUUAUCAUGGAUUCAUGGCUGGAUAUACCACAUGGAUUUAUCAUGGAGAAAGAUUUGGGAUGUAUGAUACUCGUACUUUAGGAGAGGAGCAAGUGUCUGAAGAUGACUUGGACAAUGAUGCUGAAGCAUACUAUAGAUUAGUUAAUGAUGGACGCCAAGAGCUGUACCCAGGAAAAAGUCUCCGUAUCCCCACAGAUCUCUCCCAGCCGCCUCUCUCCCUUCCUGCCACCAUCGUCAGCGGUCGCCGGGCCCUCCAGCCGCCGCCGCUACCACCACCUUCUCCUCCUACUCGUCCCCCACUUCUAAUCUUCCGUCUCCCUCCGACCUCGAGUACAGCAGCGGAUUUCGGCUUAGCUGGAUGUGACGCCGGCGAGGUCACAGUUCCUGUCGGCAUCCUCUGCGGCCGGUCCUGUGGGGUGGGCCACGCGCUGCUCAUAUCGGUGUCAGCGGCCACGGCCAUCCCCUGCCAUGGUGUCGCCCUUCCCUUGCCUGCCGCGUCAGCUUGCUGGUCGGAUCGCGAUGUUGACGGAGCCGGUACAACGCAAAUCCAGUUGCUCCGUAAGAUUUACUCGGUCUUUGUUCAGUUGUCCAAUGAAAGCCAAAUUUCAAGUGAUAAGUGCAUACCGACACAAAAGGCACGAGGUGCUGAUGAUCGCAGUGACUCAGAGUAUGAACCAGAUGCUGAAGAGGAGGCCCUUGCAAAGGAAGAGGAUUUGAGAGAUGAAGAGGAGGUCGCUCUUGCUAAGUCCAAAGCAAUGAGUAACUUUGAGAUGGAAAAGAAUGACAAGGUUGGGAAUGAUGUAUGCACAAAACAUAUGAACUUUGCAUUAGCAUCAAUGCUUUUCUUUAUACUACAGAAUGCGAUGGAAAAGAAAAAGGAAACACAAUCAGAAGGUGAGAAGCCAUUAUCGGACACAGCUACUGUGGCUGAAGUUCUAAAGGAAGAAAGCGCCCAUAGCACCUUCCUUUCCAGCAUGGGGCAUCUGGAGGAGUUAGCCGCAAGACUUGAAGCACAAGAGAGAGCAUUUGAAGAGAUACAAAAGAAGCAGCAAGAAGAAUUGGAAGCUCUUAAGAAGAUCCCACAAGAGAAGAAUAAAGCCUGUGCAAAGAAGCAAAAGGAGACGGAUAAUCUGCUUGAUUUUCUCUUGACGGCUCAAGCAACUCAACAAGCAACUCUGCACUUGAUGGUUCAUGAAUGA
rnacentral:rRNA from 1 species